rnacentral:lncRNA from 1 species
GAAGUAAUAACUCAGAAAAUACAUGAAGAUUUGCAAUAAAAAUAUAGAUCAAUGAAGAAAAAAAUAACAAGAGCUUCAAGAAGAUCUAGAGAAAUGCACAAACAAGUGUGCUAAAUUAGAAAAAGAGAAACAGGAUCUUGUUGAAGAGCUGGCCACCUACAAAAGCCUCAACACAACACUGCAGUACAAUAUAGAUGAAGUGCUACAAAGAGCCUUCUCCAAAAAAGCUCCAUCUUUUCUUAGUAUACCUUCUGGCUCUUUUGAGAGCACACCUGAGAGAUCAGAUGAGCUGCCUAAUGGUUCUGAGGACAACAACAACACCUAUGAACCAAUGAGACUUUAUGAAGUAAAUGGUGACAAGAUCCACAUAGGAGACAACAUUUGGAUCCGAGAAGAGGUGUGGAAAAAAAUCUAAUCGACUACAAAAGAUUCUCUUUUUGUGAAAGAGAUGGCUGUAGCAUUGUGGGGGACUGCCACUUUAAAAACAAGAAGUAUGUCAGGAAAGGAGUGUCCCACCAAAAAUAGUUCAGCAAAGCCUCCCUUGACACCAUCCAAGUUGCAAAUUUUGAGAGUCUGUUUCAGUGACUGGCUGAAACAAAAGGAACCCAAAAGAAAAGAGAGAGAGAAGAGGGAAAACCAGAUGGGGUAUUAUUUAUCCCAAAAAAUACAGGAUAUCAU